AUUGAACGCUGGCGGCAUGCCUUACACAUGCAAGUCGAACGGCAGCACGGGUGCUUGCACCUGGUGGCGAGUGGCGAACGGGUGAGUAAUACAUCGGAACAUGUCCUGUAGUGGGGGAUAGCCCGGCGAAAGCCGGAUUAAUACCGCAUACGAUCUACGGAUGAAAGCGGGGGACCUUCGGGCCUCGCGCUAUAGGGUUGGCCGAUGGCUGAUUAGCUAGUUGGUGGGGUAAAGGCCUACCAAGGCGACGAUCAGUAGCUGGUCUGAGAGGACGACCAGCCACACUGGGACUGAGACACGGCCCAGACCCCUACGGGAGGCAGCAGUGGGGAAUUUUGGACAAUGGGCGAAAGCCUGAUCCAGCAAUGCCGCGUGUGUGAAGAAGGCCUUCGGGUUGUAAAGCACUUUUGUCCGGAAAGAAAUCCUUGGCUCUAAUACAGUCGGGGGAUGACGGUACCGGAAGAAUAAGCACCGGCUAACUACGUG
rnacentral:rRNA from 1 species